rnacentral:rRNA from 1 species
UAAUACGGAGGGUGCAAGCGUUAUCCGGAUUCACUGGGUUUAAAGGGUGCGUAGGUGGAUAGGUAAGUCCGUGGUGAAAUCUUCCGGCUUAACCGGAAAACUGCCAUGGAUACUAUCUAUCUUGAAUACCGUGGAGGUCAGCGGAAUAUGUCAUGUAGCGGUGAAAUGCUUAGAUAUGACAUAGAACACCAAUUGCGAAGGCAGCUGGCUACACGAAUAUUGACACUGAUGCACGAAAGCGUGGGGAUCAAACAGGAUUAGAUACCCUGGUAGUCCACGCCCUAAACUAUGGAUACUCGACAUACGCGAUACACUGUGUGUGUCUGAGCGAAAGCAUUAAGUAUCCCACCUGGGAAGUACGAUCGCAAGAUUG